rnacentral:rRNA from 1 species
UACAGAGGUGGCAAGCGUUGUUCGGAAUUACUGGGCGUAAAGGGCGCGUAGGCGGCCUUCUAAGUCAGACGUGAAAUCCCCAGGCUUAACUUGGGAACUGCGUCUGAUACUGGGAGGCUUGAGUGCGGGAGAGGGAUGUGGAAUUCCAGGUGUAGCGGUGAAAUGCGUAGAUAUCUGGAGGAACACCGGUGGCGAAGGCGGCAUCCUGGACCGACACUGACGCUGAGGCGCGAAAGCUAGGGGAGCAAACGGGG